rnacentral:rRNA from 1 species
GUGGGGAAUCUUGCGCAAUGGGCGAAAGCCUGACGCAGCCAUGCCGCGUGAAUGAUGAAGGUCUUAGGAUUGUAAAAUUCUUUCACCGGGGACGAUAAUGACGGUACCCGGAGAAGAAGCUCCGGCUAACUUCGUGCCAGCAGCCGCGGUAAUACGAAGGGGGCUAGCGUGGCUCGGAAUUACUGGGCGUAAAGGGCGCGUAGGCGGACAGCUUAGUCAGAGGUGAAAGCCCAGGGCUCAACCUUGGAAUUGCCUUUGAUACUGGCUGUCUUGAGUUUGGGAGAGGUGAGUGGAACUCCGAGUGUAGAGGUGAAAUUCGUAGAUAUUCGGAAGAACACCAGUGGCGAAGGCGACUCACUGGCCCAAUACUGACGCUGAGGCGCGAAAGCGUGGGGAGCAAACAGGAUUAGAAACCCCUGUAGUCC